UGGGGGUGCUGUCUGGCCCUAGGGCUCAGAACAGUCCCAGAUUCAGCUCAGAGUCUUUAUUCCUUUAGCUCGGCACUGCAAUCCCAGGGUAGUGCCUGGCUUGCUGUUGGCCUCCCGCAGCACUAUUUAGAGAAGAAAUUCCACUGGGACACCUGGUACUUUGCAGAGCAGACGAACAUUUCUGGACUUGCUGUGGGGAGAGGCAGGCUGAGGCUGGGGUGCCAGGAAACAGGCUCUCCUAGGUGGAUGCAGAUGUAAUGGACAAGGGCCGCAGGCCUGGUGAGGACCCCAGGCUGCCCGCCUGCUGGGGUCAGAGGAGGGGACAGAGCCAACGAGCCUCGCUCUGGCUUCUGCUGGUUGGCUGUGACUCCUGGUCUGCCUGGAUGGAGCCGGAGGGUAAGAAGAACAGGAAGAGAAAGGAAAGCAGCUGGAGGAUGCAGGAUGCCCGUCUGCUGUGUGGUGGAGGGGCCUGAGGAGGAAGGAGGCAUGCGGGCCCCCAGGCAAGAGGCUCAAUUAGGGUUCCCUGGCAUCCACAGGCCCGAGGAACAGCCAGUGCCUGUGGGAGGUCAGAAACCGACAGACUUGGAGCCAGUUGAAUCUGGGCUGAAGACCUGCUGCUCUGCGUCAAAUUGCCAACCUCCUUGAGUUCUGAGCAGAGAAGGCAAUGGCACCCCACUCCAGUACUCUUGCCUGGAAAAUCCCACGGACGGAGGAGCCUGGUAGGCUGCAGUCCAUGGGGUUGCGAAGAGUCAGACAUGACUGAGCGACUUCACUUUCACGCAUUGGAGAAGGAAAUGGAAACCUACUCCAGUGUUCUUGCCUUGAGAAUCCCAGGGAUGGCGGAGCCAGUGGGCUGCCGUCUAUGAGGUUGCACAGAGUUGGACACGACUGAAGCGACUUAGCAGCAGCAGCAGCAUGAGCUCUGAGGGUCACUCCACGGUUUUCACGCAUUGGAGAAGGAAAUGGAAACCUACUCCAGUGUUCUUGCCUUGAGAAUCCCAGGGAUGGCGGAGCCAGUGGGCUGCCGUCUAUGAGGUUGCACAGAGUUGGACACGACUGAAGCGACUUAGCAGCAGCAGCAGCAUGAGCUCUGAGUGUCACUCCACGGUAUAGGCGACCCUGCUGACCUUAAAGACUUAGAGUAAAGAUUCAACAAUGAAGCUCCAGCCCAGCUCCUAGCACAGAAGCCAGCACGAUGGCCGUGGUCCUGGGUUCCUGGGGUGCCUGCGGGCUGGCUCCCGCCAUCCACCUGCUCCUGGAGUUCACACACUCAGACCAAGAGGAAAACGAGGAAAGGAUGCAGGUUCUCCCACAGUGACAGAAGCCAGCGGCUGAGCCCAAAGUCCACACUGGGUCUCGACUUUCCCAAUCCACCCUACUUAAUCGAUGGGUUCACAAGCUUGGCCAGAGCAAUGCCAUCCUUCGCAGGGAUAUGAGGGGAGACAGAGGGGGAGAAGGUACUGGGCAUGUGUU
rnacentral:lncRNA from 1 species